GCUGUACCCCCACCUGGAAUGCCUGUUCCUCCUUACCGUUCGUUCAAGGUCCAGUUGCACUGCUGCCUCCUCCAGGAAGCCUUCCCUGAUGCGCCUUUGUCCCUCAACCUGUAGUCAGCUCUCAGUCCCCUGAUCCUGUGAUCUACAGGUGGUAAGCUCUGCAGAGGCAGGGGCUGCUCUGGUUAGGUCAUUGUGGGCCCCACCUUGUUGACCUUGUCUUCCCUGGCAGGCACACGGGACAGGGUGAUCACAGCCGUGAGCCAAGGGCUGGGCCAGAAAUGUCCCCACCAGACCACUUCCACCUGGAGAGAUGUGAGCUGUGAGCCGGGGAGCCUGGUCUGACCCUAGAGGCAGUCCUGGGGUCGGGGGCCUCCGCUGUCCGUGAACCCACCUGGAGCUCCAGCAUCUUCCUCCCCAGACUGUCUCUCCCAGGACUCCCAGAAAGUCUCGCUCUUGGAGAAGGCCAACGGCACCUGUGCCCCAGUGGACAGAAGGAUGGAGGCAUGGCCCUGCCUGACCAGCGCCCUCUCCUGCCUCCCCCAGGAAGAAGGGGAGGUCAUGCACACCCCACCCUUUAAAAGACCCUGAGUGGGAAUGAGGGGAGGAUCCAUCACAAGGGACAGGCCCGCCCCGUGGACUGGGGAGGACCAUGCGGGCCUGCAGAGAACUCUGACUGGCAAUGAACUCAGAGCCAAGGACCCCCAGCCCCCUCCCCGCCAAGGGGCUCAGGAAUUCUGCUCUUCCUUGCAAACACUUGGCAUGUCUCUGGGCUAUUUGAAUAAUAAAUACACAUUAUAAAAAUCUAAA